rnacentral:rRNA from 1 species
GUGGCGAACGGGUGAGUAACACGUGAGUAACCUGCCCCAGACUCUGGGAUAAGCACUGGAAACGGUGUCUAAUACCGGAUACGAGCUUCAGCCGCAUGGCUAGGAGCUGGAAAGAAUUUCGGUCUGGGAUGGACUCGCGGCCUAUCAGCUAGUUGGUGAGGUAAUGGCUCACCAAGGCGACGACGGGUAGCCGGCCUGAGAGGGUGACCGGCCACACUGGGACUGAGACACGGCCCAGACUCCUACGGGAGGCAGCAGUGGGGAAUAUUGCACAAUGGGCGCAAGCCUGAUGCAGCAACGCCGCGUGAGGGACGACGGCCUUCGGGUUGUAAACCUCUUUUAGUAGGGAAGAAGCGAAAGUGACGGUACCUGCAGAAAAAGCACCGGCUAACUACGUGCCAGCAGCCGCGGUAAUACGUAGGGUGCAAGCGUUAUCCGGAAUUAUUGGGCGUAAAGAGCUCGUAGGCGGUUUGUCGCGUCUGCUGUGAAAACUGGAGGCUCAACCUCCAGCCUGCAGUGGGUACGGGCAGACUAGAGUGCGGUAGGGGAGAUUGGAAUUCCUGGUGUAGCGGUGGAAU